rnacentral:rRNA from 1 species
UACAGAGGGCUCAAGCGUUAAUCGGAAUCACUGGGCUUAAAGGGUCCGAGCGAUGGAAAGUAUCUUGUGAAAUACCACGGCUCAACCGUGGAACUGCUCGGUAAACUUCCAAUCUUGAACACGGUAGGGGCCAUCGGAACUCUAGGUGGAGCGGUGAAAUGCGUAGAUAUCUAGAGGAACGCCAGAGGCGAAGGCGGAUGGCUGGGCCGUUGUUGACGCUCAGGGACGAAAGCAUGGGUAGCGAACGGGAUUAGAUACCCGUGUAGUCC